ensembl:miRNA Mir363 microRNA 363
UUUUGCUGUUAUCGGGUGGAUCACGAUGCAAUUUUGAUUAGAGUAAUGGGAGAGAAAUUGCACGGUAUCCAUCUGUAAACCGCAGGA